AAACGCUGCUGUGUGUUGAACAGGGGACUGCACAUUGACAUUUAGUUACUCAAGGCACAUAUCCAUGGCUGGCAUAUGCCCCUGAGUCUUUGAUCUAGGACACACACAUGUAUAUGAGGAUUUAAGAUGCAAAUUUUUUUAACAUUAUUUGUAAUUUAGAUGUGAGGCUACCAUGACGUGUUUGUAUCACCUUAAGGCAGAACUUUUCCAUUUUCUCCAUAAAUAUCCAUGCAAACUCUUCAUUAUUUUAAAACCUCUAUUUCCUCUUUUAACCAGUCCUGACUGUGGUCAGAGAAGAUGGCUAUACACUGAUGGGCACUGGCAGUGCUUUGGCAAGACAACAGAGGAGCACAGGCUAUGGAGCCAGGGAUGGUGGACAAAGGAAAGCCACUUCCGGGUCUGACUUGCUACAUGGUGCAAACAGCUCUCUUCCUGCAAGAGGUGUGCAGCCAGGACAGACAGCUGGGCUGAACUUCACUGCUGCUUCAAACUCAAGGUGAACAUAUGGUCCUUGAAACACAACAAGCAGCACCAAAACAAACCUUGAUCCUUCCAGCUUUGAGUGACACCAGUAGGUGAAGUAACUACCCCG
rnacentral:lncRNA from 1 species